AACGAACGCUGGCGGCAGGCCUAACACAUGCAAGUCGAGCGAAGCCUUCGGGCUUAGCGGCGGACGGGUGAGUAACGCGUGGGAACGUGCCCUUUGGUACGGAAUAGCCCCGGGAAACUGGGAGUAAUACCGUAUGUGGUCGAGAGACGAAAGAUUUAUCGCCAAAGGAUCGGCCCGCGUUGGAUUAGGUAGUUGGUGGGGUAAUGGCCUACCAAGCCGACGAUCCAUAGCUGGUUUGAGAGGAUGAUCAGCCACACCGGGACUGAGACACGGCCCAGACUCCUACGGGAGGCAGCAGUGGGGAAUCUUAGACAAUGGGGGAAACCCUGAUCUAGCCACGCCGCGUGAUCGAUGAAGGCCUUAGGGUUGUAAAGAUCUUUCAGUGGGGAAGAUAAUGACUGUACCCACAGAAGAAGCCCCGGCUAACUCCGUGCCAGCCGCCGCAGUAACAC
rnacentral:rRNA from 1 species